rnacentral:rRNA from 1 species
UACGAAGGGGGCUAGCGUUGUUCGGAUUUACUGGGCGUAAAGCGCACGUAGGCGGCUUUUUAAGUCAGGGGUGAAAUCCUGGAGCUCAACUCCAGAACUGCCUUUGAUACUGAGAAGCUUGAGUCCGGGAGAGGUGAGUGGAACUGCGAGUGUAGAGGUGAAAAUUCGUAGAUAUUCGCAAGAACACCAGUGGCGAAGGCGGCUCACUGGCCCGGUACUGACGCUGAGGUGCGAAAGCG